rnacentral:lncRNA from 1 species
UGGAAGAGAACGACCGAGCGGCACACGAGCUCGAGGCCGCUCUUCAAGAGUUCUGUCGGGUCGACAUCUCGAAGGGACUCCCGAGACUCAUCGGGGAGCGCCACACGAACCCUUCGUGUGAAUUGAUGGCCGCGCCCCAAGAGAUCGAAGGGGGUCGGCCCAGAUCUCGCCACGACAUCAGAUGAACCCGGGCGGGAGCGGGGAAAGGGCUACGCC